GGAAGUGACCUCUCAGGGCCUGGGAAGGGUGUGGCCAGUGGUUCUUGGUUGUACUCAACUCAUCUGCCUUGGGUCUAAGGCUGGGGUGAAUGGAAGGGCCCACCUGGACCCUGGAGGGACACCAGGCUCAUACUAAAAUCCCAAAAAGUGAAAAGCUUUCCCCAGGCCCAAGCAGAGAAACUGGACCUUGAAGCUACAUCUCUGGACUUAGUCCUCAAAGUAGGAGACAUUUGCCUCUAAGCUGUUCUCUCCCACCCCACCUUUCUGUGAGCCGCCGGUUCCCUGUUGUCCACAUCAAGCUGUGUGCUGGGCACUGGGUGCAGGAAUAGCUUGACCACAGUCUCUAUCCUGGGGGUAAAGGGGUGACCAGCCCACAGAGGGAUGGACUGCAAACAGACAGUCCCAAAGUGCCAUGAGAGAAGCUCUCAGGGCCUGGGCGUGAUGGUUCAUGCCUGGAAUCCCAGCACUUUGGGAGGCCGAGGUGGGUGGAUCAGUUGAGGUCA
rnacentral:lncRNA from 10 species